rnacentral:rRNA from 1 species
CCUACGGGUGGCAGCAGUGGGGAAUAUUGGACAAUGGGCGAAAGCCUGAUCCAGCCAUGCCGCGUGUGUGAAGAAGGCCUUCGGGUUGUAAAGCACUUUCAGUGGGGAAGAAAGCCUUGGGGCUAAUACCCUCGAGGAAGGACAUCACCCACAGAAGAAGCACCGGCUAACUCCGUGCCAGCAGCCGCGGUAAUACGGAGGGUGCGAGCGUUAAUCGGAAUUACUGGGCGUAAAGCGCGCGUAGGCGGUCUGAUAAGCCGGUUGUGAAAGCCCCGGGCUCAACCUGGGAACGGCAUCCGGAACUGUCAGGCUAGAGUGCAGGAGAGGAAGGUAGAAUUCCCGGUGUAGCGGUGAAAUGCGUAGAGAUCGGGAGGAAUACCAGUGGCGAAGGCGGCCUUCUGGACUAACACUGACGCUGAGGUGCGAAAGCGUGGGUAGCAAACAGGAUUAGAUACCCCUGUAGUC